UCCGGGAUAGCUCAGUCGGUAGAGCGAUCGGCUGUUAACCGAUUGGUCCCUGGUUCGAGUCCAGGUCCCGGAG
rnacentral:tRNA from 1 species